GGAGGUUCAUCCAGGGAAUCUGUCACAACAUUCUCUUACGGAAGGUUCUUCCAGGGAAUCUGUCACAACAUUCUCUUACGGAAGGUUCUUCCAGGGAAUCUGUCACAACAUUCUCUUACGGAAGGUUCUUCCAGGGAAUCUGUCACAACAUUCUCUUACGGAAGGUUCUUCCAGGGAAUCUGUCACAACAUUCUCUUACGGAAGGUUCUUCCAGGGAAUCUGUCACAACAUUCUCUUACAGAAGGUUCUUCCAGGGAAUCGGUCACAACAUUCUCUUACGGAAGGUUCAAUGGUUUUUCAUAUUUAAACGAGUUUCUUUGACGUUUUAAACACAAUGGAUAUUUCUUUGCACGUAGAGAGUCUAGGAUUAUGAAGGUAUAUACAUUAAAUGAAUGUACAGUGACCUCACAUAGAUAGGAAAACUACAGUAGAGCUAACAAUGCAGUAAAAAUAUAUCUAAAUGUUCAGACAGAAAGUUCCAGGGUUAGAGAGAACAACCUCACUCUACAGACCAGGGUGAUAUGUUACAUAGCUGUGAACAGGACCUCGUUGGGUUGGCAAAUGGACAAAUGGGUAUUUUAACGGGCUAACAAGUAUUGGUAGCCGCUGCUGUCAUUAACAACACUGGACCUAUGUUUAAACUCAUGUCUAAAAUGGCAUCCUAUUCCCUACAUAAUGCACUACUUUAGACCGGGACCCUAUCCCCUAUAUAGUGCACUACUUUAGACCAGAGCCCUAUUCCCUAUGUAGUGCACUACUUUAGACCAGGGCCCUAUUCGAUAUAUAGUGCACUACUUUAGACCAGGGCCCUAUUCCCUACAUAGUGCACUACUUUAGACCAGGGCCCUAUUCCCUACAUAGUGCACUACUUUAGACCAGGACCCUAUCCCCUAUAUAGUGCACUACUUCAAACCAGAGCCCUAUUCCCUAUGUAGUGCACUACUUUAGACCAGAGCCCUAUCCCCUAUAUAGUGCACUACUUUAAACCAGAGCCCUAUAUAGUGCACUACUUUAGACCAGAGACCUAUUCCCUAUAUAGUGCACUACUAUAGACCAGAGCCCUAUUCCCUAUGUAGUGCACUACUAUAGACCAGAGCCCUUUUUCCCUAUAUAGUGCACUACUAUAGACCAGAGCCCUAUUCCCUAUGUAGUGCACUACUAUAGACCAGAGCCCUAUUCCCUAUAUAGUGGUACUACUUUAGACCAGGGCCCUAUUCCCUAUAUAGUGGUACUACUAUAGACCAGAGCCCUAUUCCCUAUAGUGGUACUACUUUAGACCAGGGCCCUAUUCCCUAUAUAGUGCACUACUUUAGACCAGGGCCCUAUUCCCUAUAUAGUGCACUACUAUAGACCAGAGCCCUAUUCCCUAUAUAGUGGUACUACUAUAGACCAGAGCCCUAUUCCCUAUAGUGGUACUACUAUAGACCAGAGCCCUAUUCCCUAUAUAGUGGUACUACUUUAGACCAGGGCCCUAUUCCCUAUAUAGUGGUACUACUAUAGACCAGGGCCCUAUUCCCUAUAUAGUGCACUACUUUAGACCAGGGCCCUAUUCCCUAUAGUGGUACUACUUUAGACCAGAGCCCUAUUCCCUAUAUAGUGGUACUACUUUAGACCAGGGCCCUAUUCCCUAUAUAGUGCACUACUUUAGACCAGAGUCCAAUGGCCAACUAAGACACUUUACUGACUGGUUUAUUUAUAGCGUCAUCUUAUACUUGAAUGAUCACAGUUGAUUUAAUUGAAUGUUAGAAAUAUUUAUUUUUGUGAAAACAUUGUGAAAAUGGAUUUUCUUCUUAUUUUUUAAAAUUGAUUUAUUUUUUACUUCAGUUCAUUUUAGUAAACACUUAUAUUUCUUUAAAUUGCAUGGUUGGUUAAUGGCUUGUAAAGUAAACAUUUCACAUGUUGUGUUUGGCGCAUGUGACAAAUAAAAUUAGAUUUUGAUUUGAAACCUGCUGUGGACUAGUUACUCUCUCUUUACAUAUAUGCAA
ensembl:lncRNA